rnacentral:rRNA from 1 species
GGGUUGUGAGGUUAAGCGACUAAGCGUACACGGUGGAUGCCCUGGCAGUCAGAGGCGAUGAAGGGCGUGCUAAUCUGCGAUAAGCGCCGGUAAGGUGAUAUGAACCGUUAUAACCGGCGAUACCCGAAUGGGGAAACCCAGUGUGAUUCGUCACACUAUCAUUAACUGAAUCCAUAGGUUAAUGAGGCGAACCGGGGGAACUGAAACAUCUAAGUACCCCGAGGAAAAGAAAUCAACCGAGAUUCCCCCAGUAGCGGCGAGCGAACGGGGAGGAGCCCAGAGCCUGAAUCAGCAUGUGUGUUAGUGGAAGCGUCUGGAAAGGCGCGCGAUACAGGGUGACAGCCCCGUACACAAAAGCGCAUGUGCUGUGAGCUCGAUGAGUAGGGCGGGACACGUGGUAUCCUGUCUGAAUAUGGGGGGACCAUCCUCCAAGGCUAAAUACUCCUGACUGACCGAUAGUGAACCAGUACCGUGAGGGAAAGGCGAAAAGAACCCCGGCGAGGGGAGUGAAAAAGAACCUGAAACCGUGUACGUACAAGCAGUGGGAGNNNNNNNNNNNNNNNNNNNNNNGGGCGUUAAGUUGCAGGGUAUAGACCCGAAACCCGGUGAUCUAGCCAUGGGCAGGUUGAAGGUUGGGUAACACUAACUGGAGGACCGAACCGACUAAUGUUGAAAAAUUAGCGGAUGACCUGUGGCUGGGGGUGAAAGGCCAAUCAAACCGGGAGAUAGCUGGUUCUCCCCGAAAGCUAUUUAGGUAGCGCCUCGUGAAUUCAUCUCCGGGGGUAGAGCACUGUUUCGGCUAGGGGGCCAUCCCGGCUUACCAACCCGAUGCAAACUGCGAAUACCGGAGAAUGUUAUCACGGGAGACACACGGCGGGUGCUAACGUCCGUCGUGAAGAGGGAAACAACCCAGACCGCCAGCUAAGGUCCCAAAGUCAUGGUUAAGUGGGAAACGAUGUGGGAAGGCCCAGACAGCCAGGAUGUUGGCUUAGAAGCAGCCAUCAUUUAAAGAAAGCGUAAUAGCUCACUGGUCGAGUCGGCCUGCGCGGAAGAUGUAACGGGGCUAAACCAUGCACCGAAGCUGCGGCAGCGACACUGUGUGUUGUUGGGUAGGGGAGCGUUCUGUAAGCCUGCGAAGGUGGCCUGUGAGGGUUGCUGGAGGUAUCAGAAGUGCGAAUGCUGACAUAAGUAACGAUAAAGCGGGUGAAAAGCCCGCUCGCCGGAAGACCAAGGGUUCCUGUCCAACGUUAAUCGGGGCAGGGUGAGUCGACCCCUAAGGCGAGGCCGAAAGGCGUAGUCGAUGGGAAACGGGUUAAUAUUCCCGUACUUGGUGUUACUGCGAAGGGGGGACGGAGAAGGCUAUGUUGGCCGGGCGACGGUUGUCCCGGUUUAAGCGUGUAGGUGUGUGUUCCAGGUAAAUCCGGUUCACUUUAACACUGAGGCGUGACGACGAGGCACUACGGUGCUGAAGCAACAAAUGCCCUGCUUCCAGGAAAAGCCUCUAAGCAUCAGGUAACAUCAAAUCGUACCCCAAACCGACACAGGUGGUCAGGUAGAGAAUACCAAGGCGCUUGAGAGAACUCGGGUGAAGGAACUAGGCAAAAUGGUGCCGUAACUUCGGGAGAAGGCACGCUGACACGUAGGUGAAGUGAUUUACUCAUGGAGCUGAAGUCAGUCGAAGAUACCAGCUGGCUGCAACUGUUUAUUAAAAACACAGCACUGUGCAAACACGAAAGUGGACGUAUACGGUGUGACGCCUGCCCGGUGCCGGAAGGUUAAUUGAUGGGGUCAGCGCAAGCGAAGCUCCUGAUCGAAGCCCCGGUAAACGGCGGCCGUAACUAUAACGGUCCUAAGGUAGCGAAAUUCCUUGUCGGGUAAGUUCCGACCUGCACGAAUGGCGUAAUGAUGGCCAGGCUGUCUCCACCCGAGACUCAGUGAAAUUGAACUCGCUGUGAAGAUGCAGUGUACCCGCGGCAAGACGGAAAGACCCCGUGAACCUUUACUAUAGCUUGACACUGAACAUUGAGCCUUGAUGUGUAGGAUAGGUGGGAGGCUUUGAAGUGUGGACGCCAGUCUGCAUGGAGCCGACCUUGAAAUACCACCCUUUAAUGUUUGAUGUUCUAACGUGGACCCGUUACCCGGGUUGCGGACAGUGUCUGGUGGGUAGUUUGACUGGGGCGGUCUCCUCCUAAAGAGUAACGGAGGAGCACGAAGGUUGGCUAAUCCUGGUCGGACAUCAGGAGGUUAGUGCAAUGGCAUAAGCCAGCUUGACUGCGAGCGUGACGGCGCGAGCAGGUGCGAAAGCAGGUCAUAGUGAUCCGGUGGUUCUGAAUGGAAGGGCCAUCGCUCAACGGAUAAAAGGUACUCCGGGGAUAACAGGCUGAUACCGCCCAAGAGUUCAUAUCGACGGCGGUGUUUGGCACCUCGAUGUCGGCUCAUCACAUCCUGGGGCUGAAGUAGGUCCCAAGGGUAUGGCUGUUCGCCAUUUAAAGUGGUACGCGAGCUGGGUUUAGAACGUCGUGAGACAGUUCGGUCCCUAUCUGCCGUGGGCGCUGGAGAACUGAGGGGGGCUGCUCCUAGUACGAGAGGACCGGAGUGGACGCAUCACUGGUGUUCGGGUUGUCAUGCCAAUGGCACUGCCCGGUAGCUAAAUGCGGAAGAGAUAAGUGCUGAAAGCAUCUAAGCACGAAACUUGCCCCGAGAUGAGUUCUCCCUGAGACUUAGAGUCUCCUGAAGGAACGUUGAAGACGACGACGUUGAUAGGCCGGGUGUGUAAGCGCAGCGAUGCGUUGAGCUAACCGGUACUAAUGAACCGUGAGGCUUAACCUUACAACGCCGAAG